GUUCAGCUAAGCGCUGUCAAGCUAUACUCGUCAGCUAGCUCGUGAAGAUCAUAAGCUGCCAUCAUGGUGAAGCAAUUCACUGGCAAGACGCACCAGACGGAAAAUUCCGAGUACCUCGACGCCUUUCUCACUGCCUACGCACGGGCACUGGUAACGGCGAUGUCCAGCUCCUCAGGGCAGUACCAGCACAGCGGCAACAACAGCAACACAACAACAACAACAACAAAAAUAAAUUCAGUAAGAGAGAUGGCUGGUGGCCAGAUGGUCAACACUCAGAGGGAUUCCAGUCAAAACACGUGAAAUAACACAAACUAUCGGUGACGUCGCAUAGAAGAUGAAUUACAAGGCUGCUCAAGGAUCAUUGGAUGGAUGUGUGUUUGCUCUAUUUGCUUUACGAUUAUCAUACGGACAGCAUUGUUUCUACUAGGAG